CGUACACUCCUACGGGAGGCAGCAGUGGGGAAUUUUAGACAAUGGGCGAAAGCCUGAUCCAGCCAUGCCGCGUGCAGGAUGAAGGCCUUCGGGUUGUAAACUGCUUUUGUACGGAACGAAACGGCCUUUUCUAAUAAAGAGGGCUAAUGACGGUACCGUAAGAAUAAGCACCGGCUAACUACGUGCCAGCAGCCGCGGUAAUACGUAGGGUGCAAGCGUUAAUCGGAAUUACUGGGCGUAAAGCGUGCGCAGGCGGUUAUGUAAGACAGUUGUGAAAUCCCCGGGCUCAACCUGGGAACUGCAUCUGUGACUGCAUAGCUAGAGUACGGUAGAGGGGGAUGGAAUUCCGCGUGUAGCAGUGAAAUGCGUAGAUAUGCGGAGGAACACCGAUGGCGAAGGCAAUCCCCUGGACCUGUACUGACGCUCAUGCACGAAAGCGUGGGGAGCAAACAGGAUUAGAUACCCGAGUAGUCCCA
rnacentral:rRNA from 1 species